rnacentral:lncRNA from 1 species
CCUUUUUGUUAUUGUUAGGAGUCGGGUGUAAGUCCAUGUAUUGGCAUUCUGUUUCCUUUUUUGUUAUUGUUAGGAGUCGGGUGUAAGUCCAUGUAUUGGCAUUCUGUUUCCUUUUGGGUGUUUCUUUUGACGUUUCAGCGUCCCUUUUUGGUGUCUUGUUUCAGGGUGCGUUAGCCGAGCUACGAGUGCUCUGAUUCUCCUCUGGAUAGAGAAGAUACGUAGGCAUAAGAUGCGAUGUCUUAUUGAGCAUGUCUCCCUUUCCCGAACUACGUUGACUCUGAUGUUUGUUUCUGACAAACUACGUAGGCCCAGGAUGUGACAUCCUGCCGAGUCCA